rnacentral:misc_RNA from 1 species
GGAAUGGAUGCUUGAUUAUGCACUUCAACAGGUUAUUUCUACACUAGCCCCAGCUCAGAAAAGAAAAGUAGCUUUGCUUUUUCAAGCAUUUGAAACGGUCAAUCCAUUACUGGAACCUGGUACCAGUCCGAGGUCUAGUGUAUCUGCUUCUUCACAUGCAUCUCCAGUUCAAACGGCUACUGCUUCCUCAUAUGAAAAGGGUUCUAGAAAAAGGAAAGAAACCAAUUUUGGAAUCUCUCUUCAUAAAUCAUCACGCCCUGACAUAAUUUACAAAGAUGAUCAAGACCAAGUCAGUGACUCCUGCACAGCAAAAGAGGGCAUUCCAAAGUCUUGUUCUAAGCUCAAUGAACCAAGUUCAAAAUCUGGUUCCACUCAUAAUGCACCUAGUAUUUUGACUUCUGAAUUCACUUCCAUAAGCUUGAAGGAACAUUUUGGAGCUCUCAAUCCUGAUAAUAGCGACCACAAUUACAUUGCCAAAGACGAUGACCCUGAUUCUAUUAGUUACCGUUUCGUGGAGCGAGGAGAAGCUACACAAACAGAACGGGGUGAGUCUUCCAAGACUGCCACUGCAGAGGAUCAGAAUACUCUGGCUCGCAUUGAGUUUAUACUAGUGCAGAUAGAGCAGAGAAUGUUGCGAGUAGAGCAGGAUAUUUCUCAGAUGGAUGCUCUCUUUCAGCAUAUAGUCUCGUUGCUACCUUCCCCAGCUCCACAGUGAUGAUGAUCAUUAUUUUAUAUCCUUUUGCGAUAUAUAUAUAUAUAUCCCUAUUUUGUUGGAUAGCACAUUUUAUUACCUCCCCUCAUUUUGGGAUAUUACGUAUUUAUAUAAGAUGAUGUAUAUGGGAUGUACAAGUAUGAUUGUAGGAGGGCUAUUUUGAGUAAUUGUAUGUUAUAUGUUUUCUUUUCUGGGAUGUGUUUAUAUUAUGCUAGGCAUCGUAUAUUAUCUUCCUCAUGAAAUGUGUGUGUGUGUGUGAAUAUGUAUGAAUGUAUGGAUGUGCACAGGCAUAAAUUUAUAGGAAUGUUAAUGUAUAUAUCUAUAUACUUGUGAAAGAGGAAAAUGC